GGCCGGCGCCUUGGGCACUGUGGGAGUUGUAGGCCGCAGUGAGCGGGUAGCGUGCGGUAGGGCUUAACUUUACGCUGUGGCCAGAGACGCGGAAUCUGUUUUCGGAGCUGCUGCUCCACGGUUAGAGAGUUGGAGGCCACGGUGGCGGGGCGAUGCGAGACAGCGGGCCGCUGCGGCUAGCCGGUCUGGCGCUGCUCCUCGUGGCCUCCGGGGCGGGAACAAGGCCGCGGCCCACCACCCCCGGGGCCCAGCCCCGAUCUAAUGUUGUGUUGGUGGCCUGCGACUCCUUGGAUGGACGCUUGACAUUUUUGCCAGGAAAUCAGACUGUGGAUUUACCUUCCAUAAAUUUUAUGAAAAGACAUGGCACUGUCUUUCUCAAUGCCUACACCAAUUCUCCAAUUUGUUGUCCUUCCCGUGCAGCUAUGUGGAGUGGUCUUUUCACUCAUAUAACAGAAUCUUGGAAUAACUUCAAAGGUCUAGAUCCAGAUUAUGUAACAUGGAUGGAUCUCAUGGAGGAGCAUGGCUACCAUACGCAGAAGAUUGGGAAAUUGGACUUUACUUCUGGACAUCAUUCAGUAAGUAACCGUGUGGAAGCUUGGACUAGGGAUGUUAACUUCCUGCUCCGACAAGAAGGAAGACCCAUGGUGAAACUUACAGGCCAUAGGAAGCAGUUUAGAGUAAUGGAAACAGAUUGGCGGAACACUGACAAAGCAGUAAAUUGGAUAAAGGAAGAAGCUGUUAACUUUACUCAACCAUUCAUUCUUUACUUGGGACUAAAUUUACCACACCCGUAUCCAUCACCCUAUGCAGGAGAAAAUUUUGGAUCCUCUACAUUUUUAACAUCUCCCUAUUGGCUUGAAAAGGUAAAUUAUGAAGCUAUUAAAAUACCCAAGUGGUCUUCUCUUUCAGAGAUGCAUCCAGUAGACUAUUACUCAUCGUACACCAAGAAUUGCACAGGAGAGUUUACAAAGGAAGAAGUGAGAAAUAUUAGAGCAUUUUAUUAUGCUAUGUGUGCAGAGACAGAUGCCAUGCUGGGUGAGGUUAUUUCAGCUCUGCGAGAUACUGGGCUUCUUGGAAAAACAAUCAUUAUAUUCACUGCAGAUCAUGGAGAACUUGCUAUGGAACACCGUCAGUUCUAUAAAAUGAGCAUGUAUGAAGGAAGUUCCCACAUUCCUCUUUUAGUUAUGGGGCCAGGUUUAAGAGAACAGCACCAAAUACCAAAUGUAGUAUCUCUUGUGGAUAUCUAUCCUACUAUGCUUGAUAUAGCAAGAAUUCCUGUCCCACAGAACCUCAGUGGAUAUUCUCUUAUACCACUGCUACGUGAAAAAGCUGAGAGCGAAGCGUCACCCAGAGGACCUCGGCCCUCAUGGGUGCUGAGUGAGUUCCAUGGGUGCAAUGUCAAUUCCUCUGUGUAUAUGCUGAGAACUGGCAAGUGGAAAUACAUCACAUACUCGGAUGGCUCUUCGGUACUGCCCCAACUCUUUGACCUUACUGCUGAUCCAGAUGAGCUUACAAAUCUUGCCAUAAAAUUCCCAGUAACUGUACGUUCUUUGGACAAAAUACUUCGCUCUAUAGUAAACUAUCCAAAGGUUUCUACUUCUGUUCAAGAGUAUAAUAAACAACAGUUUAUCAGUUGGAAACAAAGUUUGGGUCAUAAUUACUCAAGUGUUAUUGCAAACCUUAGGUGGCAUCAAGACUGGUUAAAGGACCCAAAAAAGUAUGAGAAUGCAAUUGACAAGUGGCUUGGUUACAAUAGGUCCUGCUAAAAGGAUUCUACUGUCUAUAAUUGCCCCCUGAGUGCAGAAGGAAGUUUGAAUAUUUUUAAAGAAGCAAAAGCUCUUUAUUUAAACUUGGGUCAGAAUCUGUGUCAAUACCAUCUUUAUUCUUCUGUCUUUGACAGAAUUAUUAGCAUCUUUGGCCCUGGAAGAGGAAAAUGCAGUUGGUUAGUGGUGCUUGUGGGAAGUUGCUCUUAUUAUUGGGGAUGGUUGGGUGAGGUGAGUGGAGGAGAACCCAGAAGUAAUUAAGAAGUGGCUCAGGAAAGUGUGGCUCCUUGGGAGCACACUGUCAGGAAGAUUGGCACAGCAAAUUGAGAGGAUGCCUGACUCACACAAUCACUUCUGAGAGGAAGAGCCUCUUCCACUGAUUCCUAUGAGUUAUCUGCAUGAGCUCCAUGUGCUGCAAAUAUUUACCUCCUCAGUGAACUAGGUGUUGACUUAUAGCAACAGGCUUUCUAAAAAGGAAAUUUUGACUUUGAAGAAGAUGUCUGACAUUCAUUAUGGUUUUAAUAGUCUGGAGAAAAUCUGAAUGCUAUCCUGAAGUUAUCUAAAUAUGUGAGAACGUCAAAUGAACUGCACAUGGAUGAAUUAGCCUGCACCAACCUUGAAAUGUAUACAAGGAAUUUUUUAGGGCAGCAGCAAUUAUUGUAAUAAAUUGCUCUUGAAUGAAAUUUAAAGAUUGUUCUUAUGUCUAUAUCCUUGAAGAAAAAGGACAGGGUGGCAAUCUGUUUUGAGGUGUAGAAAAUUCUGGGUCUGAUAGUUUAAUAGCUUUAGAAAGUCAGUAAAUCUUUGAGUAUGGCUUUCAAACAGGAAAAAAUAAAAGUUCUGCAAAUUUUAAUAGCUAAAUUAUUAGAAAAUUAUUUUUGUUUAUGCUGACUAUAAAUUUUAGAAAUUUAUUUCAAAAAUAAAUAUAGCAUGGUAUGUAAUUUACUUGGUGAGAAGCCACCUGCACCAAUGACUAAUUGUUCAUCAGCAUGCACUUAAGCUAAUAACAAAGUGAGGGGAACUGAAUUUUCCCUACUUAAGAAUAACAAUGAGGUUGAUUGAUGGAUUAUUUACCCUGUCUGCAGUUCUGGCAUCCAUCUGAACAUGGUAUGCAGUCUUCAGAGUCAGGAUCUUCGACUUCACCUGUGUUUUGCAAAUCAUCAGUUUAAUUCUAGAUAAUGCAACAUUUGGA